CCUUUGGAAAUAUUCUGCUUAUGUUCGUGGAUUCUGUCUCUAAGGUUUCGGUAGGUGGCCCCAAUGUCUAUACUCCUCUAUACCUCUAAAACCUCUAUACUCUGAAAUAAUAAAGCGAUCAAUACCAAAGAAAGAAGAAACAGCAGUUCUUAUAUACUCAUCCAAGGGCAUGGAGAUAUUGGAACCAUGGAAACUCCUAGAUAAAGUUAAGAAAGAGGUAGAUUUGCAAGAUAUAAAAAUGGGCGUGAAGAAUGCAAGAACCAUAAGAUCUGAUGUGGUCAUCACCUGUUGCACCAGUUCUAGUGUGGCAAAGUUGAAGGCUAAACUUCAAGAGAAGAAAGACUAUGAUGUCAAGGAUUCAACAGAAAGAUGUCCAAGGAUCAGGGUUACCAAAGCCCUUUGAACAUUACUGCCAAGGCUCUUACGAGUAACAUGCGAAUCUUCAAUGACCACAUCGAGGGUGAACUAUUUUCCCCAAACAAUUUUCGACCAGUGUUCCAGGUGGGGAAAUAGGCAGACAGAAACCUGUGCUCCUGGGUGGUGGAGGUGGACCCGAGGACUAGAAAGGCAAUCAGCAAAAACAAUGAUUAUUUAAUCAUUGGCUGGUCAUCAUACAAGAUAAGGGAUUUUUUUCAGCUUCUGUUGUUGCAGUAUGUGUUGGGCUUAUGGACGUUUGGCCAAAAAAGUGUAUAGCUGAUGUGGUCUGCCCCAGUUGUGCUGAAACUGGCCAUGAUUCGAACCAGUGCACAGCUCAAAGAGAAUAGUUUAAAGUCUAAACUAUUCUAUUGGUGUUGUCUAAAGUAUAACACCAGAUGUCAACAACAAUCAUCCCAAGUUGAUCCCAAUCAUGGUGCC
rnacentral:lncRNA from 1 species